rnacentral:rRNA from 1 species
GUAUAAGCAAGUCUUUACAGUGAAACUGCGGAUGGCUCAUUAUAUCAGUUAUAAUUUAUUUGACUGUACCCGCUUACCAUUUGGAUAUCCGUGGUAAUUCUAGAGCUAAUACAUGCGCGAAAGGCCCGACUUUUUGGAAGGGCUGCAUUUAUUAGAUAUAAAGCCGACUGGCCUCUUUCGGGGGGCUGUUUUGGUGAAUCAUAAUAACUGAGCGAAUCGUGGGCCGUAUGGCUACGAUGGGUCAUUCAAAUUUCUGCCCUAUCAGCUUUGAUGGUACGGUAGUGGCCUACCAUGGCGAUCACGGGUAACGGGGAAUCAGGGUUUGAUUCCGGAGAGGGAGCCUGAGAAACGGCUACCACUUCUAAGGAAGGCAGCAGGCGCGCAAAUUACCCAAUGCUGACUCAGCGAGGUAGUGACAAUAAAUAACAAUCCAGGGCCCUUGUGGUCUUGGAAUUGCAAUGAGUACGAAGUAAACAAACUAACGAGUAGCGAUUGGAGGGCAAGUCUGGUGCCAGCAGCCGCGGUAAUUCCAGCUCCAAUAGUGUAUAUUAAAGUUGCUGCAGUUAAAACGCUCGUAGUCGGAGUUUGGGAUUCGGGGUGUGGCCCGCCUGGGCAGUUCUUAACUGGGCUGUUUUUUGGGCGUGGCUGUAUUCGCCUCGUUCCCAGUAGCUGUGGGGAGAGGAUAUUGAGCUUUGCUCGGUGUUCUAUGUCCCCACUCUUUUACCUUGAGAAAAUAGAGUGUUCAAAGCAGGCUUUUGCUUGAAUAUGUUAGCAUGGAAUAAUGGAAUAGGACUCUGGUCUUGUUUUGUUGGCUUUACGGGGCUGGGGUAAUGAUUAAUAGGAACAGGUGGGGGCAUUUGUAUUGGGUGGUUAGAGGUGAAAUUCUUGGAUCCUCCCAAGACAGACUAGUGCGAAAGCAUUUGUCCAGCAUGUGUCCAUUGAUCAAGAACGAAAGUUAAGGGAUCGAAGACGAUUAGAUACCGUCGUAGUCUUAACCAUAAACGAUGCCGACUGGGGAUGGGCCUGGCUAGUGCCGGGUCUGGACUCAAUGAGAAAUCAAAGUGUUUGGGUUCCGGGGGGAGUAUGGUCGCAAGGCUGAAACUUAAAGGAAUUGACGGAAGGGCACCACCAGAAGUGGAGCCUGCGGCUUAAUUUGACUCAACACGGGGAAACUCACCAGGUCCAGACAUAGUGAGGAUUGACAGAUUGAUAGCUCUUUCUUGAUUCUAUGGGUGGUGGUGCAUGGCCGUUCUUAGUUCGUGGAUUCAUUUGUCUGGUUAAUUCCGAUAACGGACGAGACCUUUAUUUGGUGACUAGUCCAGCCAACCCUUUUGUGUUGCGCUGUACUUCUCACAGAGACGGCCGGUGUCAAGCCGGCGGAAGUUGGAGGCAAUAACAGGUCUGUGAUGCCCUUAGAUGUUCUGGGCCGCACGCGCGCUACACUGGCAAGGGCAGCGAGUUUAUUUUUUCCUGGUCUGAGAAGUCUGGGUAAUCUUGCAAACCUUGCCGUGCUGGGGAUAGUCCUUUGCAAUUUUCGGACUUGAACGAGGAACUUCUAGUAAUCGCAAGUCAUCAGCUUGCGAUGAUUACGUCCCUGCCCUUUGUACACACCGCCCGUCGCUACUACCGAUUGAACGGCUUAGUGAGUCCUUUGGAUUUGCGGGGGACUCCCUCACGGGAUCUCUUGCGGAGAAGCUGGGCAAACUUGGUCGCUC